rnacentral:rRNA from 1 species
GAUGAACGCUGGCGGUAUGCUUUACACAUGCAAGUCGUACGAGAGUUUUUAACUCAAGUGGCGGACGGGUGAGUAACACGUAAGAAUUUGCCUUUAGGAGGGGGACAACAACUGGAAACGGUUGCUAAUACCCCAUAUGCUUUCGAGCGAAAUGGAUUUUUCCGCCUAAAGAGAAGCUUGCGGCUGAUUAGCUUGUUGGUGAGGUAAUGGCUCACCAAGGCGACGAUCAGUAUCUGGUUUGAGAGGACGAUCAGACACACUGGAACUGAGACACGGUCCAGACUCCUACGGGAGGCAGCAGUGGGGAAUUUUCCGCAAUGGGCGAAAGCCUGACGGAGCAAUACCGCGUGAGGGAUGACGGCCUAUGGGUUGUAAGCCUCUUUUUUCAGGGAGGAAUCAAAUGACGUGUACCUGAAGAAUAAGCAUCGGCUAACUCCGUGCCAGCAGCCGCGGUAAGACGGAGGAUGCAAGUGUUAUCCGGAAUCACUGGGCGUAAAGCGUCUGUAGGUGGUCCAAUAAGUCAACUGUUAAAUCUUGAGGCUCAACCUCAAAAUCGCAGUCGAAACUAUUAGAC